AAAACGAUUCGAUUUUUACUCCUCGCCCCCGUCUCCUUCUUCGACCCACACACGAACCGCCGCCCCUCCAGCCUGCCCGCCGAUGCUCCGUCCGCCCCUCUUCUCCAUCUUCUCCCCCAGGCCAUACCGUGGUGGAUGACAUGCCCGUCGGCGCUCCAUCCUCCCAUCUUCUCCAUCUUUUCCCUAGCCAUCUCCCUCCUCCCUCCCUUUUCCGCCCCCACCUCUACUCCGAUCUGGUCUGGAACUAGGCGCCGGCGACUUGGAGGCAGAGGACACUCGAGCGCUCCUUCUGGAUCGGGUCAACGCGGCGCCACCUCUCGAUGCGGAACGGCGGGGGCGGCUAGAUCGGCAGCGGCGACUGGAGCUUGCAGAACGACGGCGGCGGCUGGAGCUGGGGAUUGCCAGCCCUGGGAGGAGCGCGUCUCGCCGGCUGCGGCUCCACUGGGAGGAGCGCAACUACGUAGUCCGUCGCUCGCGCCGCUAGGAGAAAGAAGGGAUGGCGCGACGGCCUAGGCAGGAGCUCGCCGGAGCCAAGCGACGGCAGACAUGGGUGGGAGGCAGAGGGAUCCGGCGUGGCGGCGCGAAGUCCUUCCAGGUGGAGGCAUGUUGGGUGCCUUUGGCUGUCACCGACGCACACUGAGACAGGUGAGGAACAAAGCAACAUGCUGAGUAUUUGAGGUGCCUUCUUUAGUUUCAGAAUCGUCUAAACUUCUGCACAACAUGGCCUUGAAAUACAGAAAUAGAUUAUGUCUUUUGUUAGACUAGAUUGUUGCCUAUGUUAUGCUGUUUGCAGGCUAUAAUUGUUCAGGGAGCCAUGCAAUUGGAGCUGAGAGAAUUAUUAGCACGUUAUGUAAAGAAGUGUUGAGCCAGUACAAAGGGACGGUCCUCAAUUUGUUAAUAGCAGAGACCCACAUAAAGUAAGGUCGGUCUGUGUUUAUUUGAUGGUACUCACGCUGUCAGGAUUGAAUCCGUAUGCAUCGUUCUGAUGCAGAGGCCGGGGAGUCCCCCCUUUUCGAAAAAAAACAGGAUUGAAUCCGUUGUCAGUAAAGAAAAUGUUGGCUCAGAUGUUAUGUGCACAACCUGUGUGAGAUGGUUGUUGUGUGGAUAGAAAAUCAGUUCCAUGAAAACAAAUAAAGGAGUGGAUAUUGCAAUAGGUUAACCAGCUGUGUGAGCGUUUACAGAGCGCGAACGGGGAGUCAACAGUCAGCUGCUGUCAGAUCUCAAAAAUGCGGGUUCGUUUUUCGUUGCUUACAGCGAGAGCGGUCGUGGUGGACAGGAACGACCACCACGGAUCCCUCGCCCCAAGUCAUGAUCCAGUUGUUGAAUGUUCACAAGAAAAUUUAUGUGGAUUGGAGAUUGACUGAUUGUUUGGUUGUCCGCAGAUUCAAAGAUGAAGUACAUAGUAAAGGUAGGGGCAAGGGGCAUCAGACGUGCUAAUUUUUCUGAACUCUACAAUGGAACCUGUGUUUCUGAAUUUCUGUCAAAGUGUCAACUCUGGAUCAUACAUAGUAGUGCUUUUUUGAUAGUAGGUGGUCUGAAUUUCUGUCAAUGGUCUGAAUUUCUCAAAGUGACUACUCUGGAUCGUACAUAGUAGUGCUCUUUUGAUAAUUGAUAGUAGGUGGCCGAAGUGUCAAACGCUGGAACAAGCACGAUCCAGAGUUUUGAGUUUUGAGUUUGCCCCACCUUAAGUUUUUUCCAUCCUCCACCACGACCGGACGCCCUCUCCAUCUAAAUCAUGCCUCUCUAAACGUACUGUCAUGUAUCAAGCUCCUACCUGACCGAUGGGACAUACGGUGGUCGUGCUCCAACCCAUUUAAUCUCAGGUCUGAUCUAUGUUCAGCUCCUUAUACAUAUAGUACUUGGUUAUACAAACAUGGAACUGAUGGAUAUGUUCGAUUAAUGGAUGCAUAAUUAGACACCUGAUGAUGAAGAGAUGGAAUUAAUGGAUGCGUACAUAUAUGAUUGGACCCUUGAUAAGCUUAGGUGGAUAUAUGGUUUACUGCAUUCUCAGUAGGUUGAUAAUUACUGUAUAUGAAAACAAAAUUGCUCAUUCUUGUUUUGUCGGAUAUUCGCACAAGGCCGCGCCGGCAAGAUAAUUAGUUACUUUUUUAUAAAACCCACAGGUAAUCUAUAUAUUUGCAGGUGAUUCAGAUGAGCGUCUCCCACAAGGUGUGAGUAUUCUAUUUUCUGAAGAACCAAGCAGGAGCUCUGCCGAAAUACUAUUAAAACAAGGGAAUGGAGUACAUACUAUGUAGAAUUAUAACAUGGACAUGCUCAGCAAUCCAAAUCUUAUUACAUAGAUUUUUUUUAAGUUUGUAAUAUAGCAGCUCCUAUAAGUAUCAAGUGUAGAUGGAAUUCCUACUGACUUACAUUUCUAUGAAUUUUUAGAUAAUGGUAAUAAUGCUUAAAACCUUACACCAAGGUUGUAUAUUAAAGUCUUUUGCACUACCCGAGAGGUCAAGCAUCCCAGAUCAUGAUCCAAUCAUGACUGAAAUUGCCACAUGCUCGGGCAGAAGCUUAAGGUCGGCAAUGCGACCGCCAUGCAUCAUAUGAGAUGUUGUCCAGCUAGC